UCGUGUAUUUUGCACAAUUGGAGGCAUAAGAAAAAGUUGCAUCCUGACAACGAACGCAAACAAGAAAGACUUCGAAUAAGGAGGGAUCGAAACAGACAAGCAAGAGCCCAAGAAACAGCUGAAGAGAAAGAAGUCAGGCACUCAAAUUCAAUUGCACUGGAUGCCAAUAGAGCAUCCCAGCAACUGAGACGGGACACAGAGACUCCUGAGGCUAGGCAGGCACGCCUACAGCAAAUGGCUGCUUCCACCCAAACCAGCAGAGCUUCAGAUACUCCUGAGGCCAGACAGGCACGCCUACAGCAAAUGGCUGCUUCAACUCAAACCAGCAGAGCCUCGGACACUCCUGAGGCCAGACAGGCAUGCUUGGAACAAGACAGGCAUAGGUAUUCACAACACAUAGAUGUGAACCACCUGUACUGCGCUCACGCUCGCCCCAUGACACCUUGUGUCACCCUAGUUAUAACUAUACAUAUAGAUACUAUAAUUCCUACUCACCCAGCAAUCCGUGCGACCGUUCAGCAAGGUCCAGUCCUCUAGCAAUCACGAAUCGAAUAUUAUUAGCGUGGAAAAUGAUUUCAUUCUCGUCAGUGCUUGCUCUGCUCCAAAAGGUUGUGUUCAGGCAUGACACCCACAUCACAAGAUCGAUGUCGGCACAGUUGGGAACCACGAUCCUCACACGAUUGCGGAACCUUUGAACGGUUAUUCCAGCAUUCAUAUAAUCCGUGACAGUGACGUUAUCAAUAGAUGCACUGCACUGGCCCAGGGAAACUUCAAUAUUCCUACAAGUUCCAUUUGCAUCUGUAGCUCGCACGUAUAUAGCGUCAACGAUGUUGAUAUCCUCAUUUGGUAUAACUCUAGCGUAGCGAGCAUUCACGCUGACACAAACAUCACUGACAAGAUUGAACAAACCACCAUCGUCACCGUGCACCUCGAAGCAUAGAUUAAUAGGGUCGUUCUCUCCAACAUUCAUGAUCAAAGUCUUGUCGGGCACGUUUAGUGGCACGGAGAAGAGAGGGUCUCCAGAUACGGUAUCGUUGACUGUCAUCAAGGUAGCUGUAGAAAUGCAUGAGAAAUAUGUAGUGUGUGGAUCGGGUAUACACACAUGCAGUGCACGAAUAUUAAGAGAUGCACAAGCGCGUGCGCAAGUAUGAUUUAGGAGAAAGCAAUAUCAUUGAAGCACACACCACACAGCAUACGUAAUUCAAUAAUACUAUUAUAGACUAGCUAUAAAAAGUUCUAGUACAUAACUACAAGUGUUACAAUCGGAAAAAUGUUAAACAGUAAAUUUAAAGGUUCAACUACAAACACAUAUUAGAAUCGAAUUGAUUGUACUCAAAAUCGGUUUCGAACUGUCCGGAAACAAUAUAGUCGGUGUAAAUUCCCUCGAUCACUGGUCCAUUAGCAGGACCAGCCGGCACCUCAUACACACUACCAGCGUGCCCAUCUCCGGCAUACAGACAAUACAUUCGUCUUUCGUAUUCCCAGCUAGGGAAUCGCAACCAGGCAAUAAAUUGCCUAGGGGAAUCGCCUGGGGAAUUGAUAAUUACGCUGAAGGUGGCAACGUCAUCUUCAACUUGAUGCUCUGUGAAAGGUCCGUUAUAAGGCACCACUUGGAUAGGGAUAUUCCAGAAUUGGCCUGUGGAAAGAGUAAGAGUAUAAUUAAUCAGUGAUCACAAUCUACGUAUGAUUAUACACUAACUCACCGAGAAUACCGUGUGAUUCUUCACGGAGAUUCAGUCCACGGGCAACCACAAAACGAAUUGCUUCUCCUUGGAAAGUGAAUUCGGUUCCAUCAGCGUUAGUACGAUCGGUGCUCCAGAAAGUUUGCGUCUGACACAUGACCCACAUGACCAAUCCUCUAGCAGAGCCGCAGUUUGGAACAGCUAUACGCACUCUGGAAGGAUACUUUCUCACCAUAAUAUCGUUCAUCGAAUACAUAUCAUUAAUCACCACACCGUCCACUCUAGCCGUACAUUGAUCCAGCAACACUUCGAUAUUGUGACAAGACCCAUCGCUAGCAACUGCUCGUACUGAAAUAUCAUCAACAAUGUUUAUAUCUUCCCCAGCGGCAAUUUGUUGGUAGUGAGCAUUGACACUGACGCAAUCGUCACUCACAAGGUUAAAGUAAGCGUCUGAACUGCCAUGAACUUCGAAACAGAGAUGAAUAAGAUCGUCUUCCCCCAGCGGCAUUAUAGCUGACUUGUUUUGAACAUAGAGGGGAACGGUCAUGAGGGGGUCUCCAAUCACAGUGUCGUUGACUCGAACGACGUUGAUAACUGCGUCUGCAUGUGUGUGUGCGUGUGCGCGCGUGCGUGUCUAUGUGCAUGUACAAGGUAUGUAAAUGUGCAUGUGGUACUGUGUAAAGGAAAUGAUGUACUAGGAAAGGAUGUACUAGUAUAUAAUAGCUAUUAGUUAUAGUAUAAAUGAAAGCACCGCAGGUGCUGAUGCCUCGGUGGAGAUGCCAAAGCUACAUAACAUAAAGCUACUAAUAGCUGAUGAACAUUUUUGCAAUAAUUAUUUUGCUGCAUGCAAACUCAAAGAAUGGGUAAUGAUCGACCAUGAUUGUUGUUAUAAACGAUCGAUGCCAAAAGUUCAAUUCUAAAAUUAAUGGCUGCCAUCAGCAGAGCCUUGCAGCUCUCAUCCUCACUCUUGCAGCUACCAAUAGCUAGCGUUAUAGUACAGAGCUAACUACUAAGUAGAGUAGUAACACUCGGUAAACAAGUUUGGCUACGUGCUCUUCUGAAAAGGCUGCAAUGGCAUUCCAAGUAAGCAAAACUAGGCAUAACUCGAGAACGAAGCAUUAUUUUGCAAAUCCACGAAUUAAAAUCCAAGUAAACAUGACUAGAAGCCUAUAAAAACUCUUACUUGCACUUGAUUCAUCCUUGAGCAGCUGUAGCGGUCUACACAGACACACAGACACACAGUACAGACACACAAACACACUACCGUAUACCUCGCUUGCGCAUGCACACCGAGGCAUAACAACAUUUGUCAUACCAUAGAUAAAAGAACAGAAGGGAUUGAAAACACCUCACGUGAUCCUCUACAAUCUCAACGUGUGACGUCACACUCUAAGAAUAGGCUUGUUACGCCUAUGCACUGGUUGAGCUCUGCCCACUUUUCUCUUCAGCUGAUCUCUACAGGGGGAAAUCCAGAUAUGUACUGGGCUUCUAGCAUCCACAUGGUUUCCCAGAUAACUCCAGCUGAUGUUCUAGUACACUUACUGGCAGUUGUGCUUGGAUUUGUGCUCAAAACAGCUACAUUUUAAGAGGAGUUAUCAAUGACAAGCUUCUCCCAGAGACCCAGGAAGAAAUUGUUGUACAAUGUUACAAAAAUGUAUUAUACAAUAAUAAUAAUUUAUAAUCGAUCUAUUUAUUAUACAAUUAAUUUUACAAAAAUUAUGUUCGAUGUU